UCAAAGCGAUGGUUUUCCCAGCAGGAACACUUAGAGUGAAGUUGUUUAGAAUUUUAACAUCCGGUCGUGAAGGGUACGAAAAGUCGACAUUUUUCAACUCUAACUGACCCGAAACCGUAUCCAACUCCAAACCCGCGUCACAGUUUCUAUCGACGUUUGGUUUAUGAUCGAUUAUUUUAAAGAUUUUAGCUGCGGCUACUCGUGCUUUUGCGAAUGCAGACAUACUUGGAGCAGAUUGGCCUAACGCACUUCCACCAAUCAUGACGGAGAACAUUGUGGAAAUUGCGAGUCCGCCAUUGGUGUAACCAUGUCGAACAAGAUAGCCUCCGUACCAU
rnacentral:lncRNA from 1 species